UACGGGGGGGGCAAGCGGUUGUUCGGAAUUACUGGGCGUAAAGGGCUCGUAGGUGGCCAACUAAGUCAGACGUGAAAUCCCUCGGCUUAACCGGGGAACUGCGUCUGAUACUGGAUGGCUUGAGUUCGGGAGAGGGAUGCGGAAUUCCAGGUGUAGCGGUGAAAUGCGUAGAUAUCUGGAGGAACACCGGUGGCGAAGGCGGCAUC
rnacentral:rRNA from 1 species